GCCGAGGUGGUGGAAUGGCAGACACGCGAGACUCAAAAUCUCGAGUCGCUUUGGCGGCGUGUGGGUUCAAGUCCCACCCUCGGCACCA
rnacentral:tRNA from 1 species